UGGGGAAUAUUGGACAAUGGGCGCAAGCCUGAUCCAGCAAUGCCGCGUGUGUGAAGAAGGCCUUCGGGUUGUAAAGCACUUUUAUCAGGAGCGAAACGCUGUCGGCUAAUACCCGGCGGAACUGACGGUACCUGAGGAAUAAGCACCGGCUAACUUCGUGCCAGCAGCCGCGGUAAUACGAAGGGUGCAAGCGUUAAUCGGAAUUACUGGGCGUAAAGCGUGCGUAGGCGGUUUCUUAAGUCUGCUGUGAAAUCCCCGGGCUCAACCUGGGAAUGGCAGUGGAUACUGGGAGGCUAGAGUGUGUCAGAGGGUGGUGGAAUUCCCGGUGUAGCGGUGAAAUGCGUAGAGAUCGGGAGGAACAUCAGUGGCGAAGGCGGCCACCUGGGACAACACUGACGCUGAGGCACGAAAGCGUGGGGAGCAAACAGGAUUAGAUACCCUGGUAGUCCACGCCCUAAAACGAUGCGAACUGGAUGUUGGUCUCAACUCGGAGAUCAGUGUCGAAGCUAACGCGUUAAGUUCGCCGCCUGGGGGAGUACGGUCGCAAGACUGAAACUUAAAUGAAUUGACGGGGUCAUAGCUGUUUCCUG
rnacentral:rRNA from 1 species